rnacentral:sRNA from 1 species
UCCUGACCUCGGGUGAUCCGCCCUCCUCUGCCUCCCAAAGUGCUGGGAUUACAGGCGUGAACCACCAUGCCUGGCCUUAAAUUACUUUUUUUCAUACUAAAUCUUCGAUAUCUAGUGUGUAUUUUCUAUUUACAUCUCUAUUCAGUCGAGCCACAUUUCAAGUCUGUGAUAGAUCCAUGUGCCUGGUAGCUACCACAGUGAAUGGCACAUCUCUGUAGAACCCCAGAGUGGAGCUCUUGUUCCAGAAUGCUCAGAUCAUGAAGGAUAGUGGGCAGAACCGACUGUGGUAUAGGGUGAAUUUCACUUAGGGGUGUUCAGAACUGGGCCCUACGCCUGUGGUUCUAAACCAAAGAGCCGUAGUUACUGGUUAGAAUGUUCUAGGGCCACCGGCAGAGCUGUCUGGCUCUGGGUAGCUCAGGGAAUUCUAGAACCAUGGGAGUAAAGCUUUUUUUUUUUUCUCCUUUUUGUUUUUGGAGACGGAAUCUUGCUCUGUCGCCCAGGCUGGUGUGCAGCGGCGCGAUCUCCCUCGGCUCACUGCAACCUCCACCUCCUGGGUUCAAGUGGUUCUCCCGCCUCAGCUUUCAAGUAGCUGGGAUUACAGGCACGCGCCACCACGCCCAGCUAAUUUUUGUAUUUUUAGUAGAGACGGGGUUUGGCCAUGUUGGCCAGGCUGGGAUUACAGACGUGAGCCACCGCACCCAGCCAGAAGUAAAGCUUUAUGUAGUUCUGGGCUGGGUUGGGAGUAUUCUAGAACUGUUCUAGAAUUCUCCUGGAACAGAAUUGUUUGUUCCUUGACUGGUCAGGUAAUUCUUAGAAUCCCUGGUGUAGCCAAAGGUGUGAACUACUGAAGGAGAUUCUAGAACCACAGGAAGAGCUGCCUGAUGUGAUUGUGAUGAAGAUGUUCUGGAAUCAUGGAGCAGAGAAGUCUGAUUCUAGAGUGAUAAUAAGUUUCUAAAACUCCUGACAGAAUUGUUAUGAGAUCUGUCAGAGAGUUCUGGAAUCAAAGGUCAGAACCAACUGGGGUUCUGGACAGUAUGGGAAUUUUAGACAAGCAGCCAGUUCUGUCUCUAUUCUGGGCAGUUCUACAACCCAGGAACACAGCUGACUGCUAUCCUGGGCUGACUGGAGACAGUUCUAGAACAGUGGGCAGAGCUGGCCAGUUCUAGAUUGAUUGAGGGAAUUCCAGAACCAAGAAGCAGGGGUCCACUGUGGUUCUAGAAUGUUGUGGAGGUUUAGAAGUAGGAGUGGGGGGUGGGGCACGAUGGCUCACGCGUGUCAUCCCAGCACUUUAGGAGGCCAAGGCGGGAGGAUCACUUGAGGUCAGGAGUUUGAGACCAGCCUGGCCAACAUGGCGAAACCCCAUCUCUACUAAAAAUACAAAAACUAGCCAGGCAUGGUGGUGGGUGCCUGUAAUCCCAGCUACUCAUGAGACUGAGGCAGGAGAAUCAUUUGAACCCGGGAAGCGGAGGUUGCAGUGAGCUGAGAUCAUACCACCGAGCUCCAGCCUGGGCGACAGAGCGAGACCAUGUCAAAAAAAAAAAACAGGAGUGGGACUGUCUGGUUCUGGCCUGAUCAUGGAAUUCUGGGGACACGGGGUGAAGGUAUCUGUGGGUGCUAGAUCUGGCUUUGCAUCCAGCCAUGGCCUGGACUCACUGGCUUUUCCCGCCUGUGAGUCCUUGAGAGAUGGACAGAAGGUUCUAGACCUGUGAGGGCCGGGCUGCUUGGAUGGUUCUAGAACAGUGGGCUGUGCUUCCUGGCUGGAGAGUGCUAAGCCACCAGCUAGAACACUGUGUCUCCCGGCCAUCUCGGAGAGCGCAGCCCUGGGGCAGAGCCUGUGGGAGUGGGCCCCUGAGGGCCAACCCUCUCCGCUGUCGCCCUCAGUGCCUGGUCCCUGUGACCAUGAAGACCUCCUGGACGGUGUCAUAUUUGGGGCCAGGUACCUGGGGUCCACCCAGCUGGUGUCGGAACGGAACCCGCCCACCAGCACGCGCAUGGCCCAGGCCCGGGAGGCCAUGGACCGUGUCAAGGUGAGGGGGCAGCCGGGGGCGGGCGGGCAGGCGGGUGGGCUGCAGGCUGGGUCUGUAGGGGCCUCCACCUCCCACGCCGCCACCCACAGGCCCCCGAUGGGGAGACCCAGCCCAUGACGGAGGUGGACCUGUUCGUCUCCACCAAGAGGAUCAAGGUCUUGACAGCGGACUCCCAGGUACGGGGCAGGGACCCGCCCCAGGGAUGCGGGCGGGGUGAUCGAGCGUGGCACGGCCCCCCAGCCCACCCAGGCUGCCUCUCCCGCCCCCAGGAGGCCAUGAUGGACCACGCCCUGCAUACCAUCUCCUACAUAGCCGACAUCGGCCGCGUGCUGGUGCUGAUGGCGCGGCGGCGGCUGGCGCGGAGGCCGGCACCCCAGGACCACGGCCGCCGCCUCUACAAGAUGCUCUGCCAUGUGUUCUACGCGGAGGACGUGAGCAGCCAGGGCGCGGGGCCGCCCUCCUGAGGCCCUCCUCACUGCAACUGUCGCCUCCCUCACUGGGCCGUGCAUUUAACCUCCCUCCCAUAAGCUUACUUUUUAGUUCUUUUUUUUUUUGGGGACAAGGUCUCCUUCUGUCACCCAGGCUGGAGUGCAGUGGCGCAAUCAUAGUUACUGCAGCCUCAACCUUCCAGGCUCAAGCGAUCCUCCCACUUCAGCCUCCCUAGUAGCUGGGACCGCGGGGGUAUCACCAUGCCUGGCUAAUUUUUGUAUUUUUUAUAGAGACAGGGUCUCGCUCUGUCGCCCAGGUGAACAUGGUCUCAAACUCCUGGGCUCAAGCGAUCCACCCACCGCAACCUCCCAAAGUGCUGCGAUUACAGGCGUGAGCCACCAUGUCCAGCCUCCCAUAAGCCUCCAAGACUCUCGGCCGACUCCCCGAAACCUUGCCCACUCCUGGGCUGUCCCUGCCACCCAUCAGGCCCACUGCCUCCCUCAUCGUCCCCCCGGCCCAGGGCUGCCCCUCCCCUUCCUUCUCCCCGUAGAUUCCCCAAGAUACGGCUGUCUCUCCACCUCCCCCAAAGCCCCAGGGCAGGAGGCUGUGUCCUGGGACUCUCACCCAGGAGGGCUCAGCUCUGAGGACCCUGGGGACUUUGGGGACCUGAAGGAGGUGGGUGGGACACCCCAGGGACGCGCCGCCCCUCCCCGCAGGCCCAGCUCAUUGCCCAGGCCAUCGGCCAGGCCUUCGCUGCCGCCUACAGCCAGUUCCUACGGGAAAGCGGUAUUGACCCCAGCCAGGUGGGCGCGCACCCGAGCCCAGGCGCCGGCCACCUCCACAACGGGGACCUGGACCACUUCUCCAACAGUGACAACUGCCGAGAGGUGCACCUCGAGAAGCAGCGAGGGGAGGGCCUGGGCGUGGCCCUGGUGGAGUCGGGCUGGGGCUCCCUGCUGCCCACAGCCGUCAUCGCCAACCUGCUGCAUGGGGGGCCUGCCGAGCGCUCGGGGGCCCUCAGCAUCGGGGACCGCCUGACUGCCAUCAACGGGACCAGCCUGGUGGGGCUGCCUCUGGCUGCAUGCCAGGCUGCUGUCCGCGAGACGAAGUCGCAGACGUCGGUGAUACUCAGCAUCGUCCACUGCCCACCCGUCACCACCGCCAUCAUCCACCGGCCCCAUGCCCGCGAGCAGCUGGGCUUCUGCGUGGAGGAUGGCAUCGUGAGGCCCCGGCCCCUGGCCCGGGGUGGGGGGUAGGGCAGCCCUGAGCAUGGCCCCUGAGCAGCCCCCACCUCUUUCCCGUCCCCUUCUUUUUUCCCCCAGAUCUGCAGCCUCCUCCGUGGCGGCAUCGCCGAGCGUGGGGGCAUCCGCGUCGGCCACCGCAUCAUUGAGAUCAAUGGGCAGAGUGUGGUGGCCACGCCACAUGCCCGCAUCAUCGAGCUGCUCACCGAGGCCUACGGCGAGGUGCAUAUCAAGACGAUGCCAGCUGCCACAUACCGCCUCCUUACAGGCCAGGAGCAGCCCGUGUACCUGUGACCACCUCGUCCCUUGCCUGCCACCGUGCCUUCGCCUCCAUGGCCCCGGAGCCCCAUCCUGGGCCUGCCCUGGCUGGCCAGGACCCCAGUGGUUCUUGGUCCUGUAUGAUUUCCUAAUAUAAAAACAGUAAAAGCUUAUGCAGUUGGC